rnacentral:rRNA from 1 species
GAUGAACGCUGGCGGCGUGCCUAAUACAUGCAAGUCGAGCGAACAGACGAGGAGCUUGCUCCUCUGACGUUAGCGGCGGACGGGUGAGUAACACGUGGAUAACCUACCUAUAAGACUGGGAUAACUUCGGGAAACCGGAGCUAAUACCGGAUAAUAUAUUGAACCGCAUGGUUCAAUAGUGAAAGACGGUUUUGCUGUCACUUAUACAUGGAUCCGCGCCGCAUUAGCUAGUUGGUAAGGUAACGGCUUACCAAGGCAACGAUGCGUAGCCGACCUGAGAGGGAGAACGGCCACACUGGAACGGAGACACGGUCCAGACUCCUACGGGAGGCAGCAGUAGGGAAUCCUCCGCAAUGGGCUAAAGCCUGACGGAGCAACGCCGCGUGAGUGAUGAAGGUCUUCGGAUCGUAAGACUCUGUUAUUAGGGAAGAACAAAUGUUUAAGUAACUAUGCACGUCUUGACGGUACCUAAGCAGAAAGCCACGGCUAACUACGUG